AGAGUUUGAUCCUGGCUCAGGACGAACGCUGGCGGCGUGCCUAACACAUGCAAGUCGAACGAAGCUUGACGAAUGAUUUCUUCGGAAUGAAAUCUGAUAUGACUGAGUGGCGGACGGGUGAGUAACGCGUGAGCAACCUGCCCUUCGGAGGGGGAUAGUGUCUGGAAACGGACAGUAAUACCGCAUAACGUAUUUUUACCGCAUGAUAGAAAUACCAAAACUGAGGUGCCGAAGGAUGGGCUCGCGUUGGAUUAGAUAGUUGGUGGGGUAACGGCCUACCAAGUCGACGAUCCAUAGCCGGACUGAGAGGUUGAACGGCCACAUUGGGACUGAGACACGGCCCAGACUCCUACGGGAGGCAGCAGUGGGGAAUAUUGCACAAUGGGGGAAACCCUGAUGCAGCAACGCCGCGUGAAGGAAGACGGUUUUCGGAUUGUAAACUUCUGUUCUUAGUGAAGAAUAAUGACGGUAGCUAAGGAGCAAGCCACGGCUAACUACGUGCCAGCAGCCGCGGUAAUACGUAGGUGGCAAGCGUUGUCCGGAAUUACUGGGUGUAAAGGGAGCGCAGGCGGGAAGCCAAGUCAGCUGUGAAAACUACGGGCUUAACUUGUAGACUGCAGUUGAAACUGGUUUUCUUGAGUGAAGUAGAGGUUGGCGGAAUUCCGAGUGUAGCGGUGAAAUGCGUAGAUAUUCGGAGGAACACCGGUGGCGAAGGCGGCCAACUGGGCUUUAACUGACGCUGAGGCUCGAAAGUGUGGGGAGCAAACAGGAUUAGAUACCCUGGUAGUCCACACUGUAAACGAUGAUAACUAGGUGUGGGGGGUCUGACCCCUUCCGUGCCGCAACUAACGCAAUAAGUUAUCCACCUGGGGAGUACGACCGCAAGGUUGAAACUCAAAGGAAUUGACGGGGACCCGCACAAGCAGUGGAUUAUGUGGUUUAAUUCGAAGCAACGCGAAGAGCCUUACCAGCACUUGACAUCCAACUAACGAAAUAGAGAUAUAUAAGGUGCCCUUCGGGGAAAGUUGAGACAGGUGGUGCAUGGUUGUCGUCAGCUCGUGUCGUGAGAUGUUGGGUUAAGUCCCGCAACGAGCGCAACCCU
rnacentral:rRNA from 1 species